ACAAAAAGAUGAUACUAAUAUUGAAAACAUUACACGAACUUGUGACAGUGAUAGGGUGAUUUCACAGUAUUUAAGAUGCGAUGGAAAAUUUGAUUGUAAGGAUCAAAUUGAUGAAGUUGAAUGUACCUAUGGAAUCCAUUCUAUGAUAAAGACAAACAGCGGAACAAACUUUAGCAGCAACGUAAAUAAUCCAUUUGUCCCGACAUUUGAGCUUAGCUCAUACUUUAGGUGUGCAACUCUGGAAUGGAUUUCUAUCAUAGCAAAGUGUGACGGUGUUAUUGACUGUUUUGACGCUUCAGAUGAAAUAGGUUGUUAUAGCGAGAAUAUUGGAAACCAUGUCUGUUCGGAGGAACAGUUCCAGUGUGCAGAUGGAGACUGCAUUCAUAUCAGCCUAGUGUGUAAUUUUAGAGAUGACUGUAAAGACUGGUCCGAUGAGUU
rnacentral:lncRNA from 1 species